GAUGAAGAACGUAGCGAAAUGCGAUAAGUAAUGUGAAUUGCAGAAUUCAGUGAAUCAUCGAAUCUUUGAACGCACCUUGCACCCUUUGGCAUUCUGAAGGGUAUGCUCGUUUGAGUGUCAUUGUACUCUCACACUCCCGAUCUUUGCAUUGGGAGCAGUGGACUUGGGUUUGCUGCUUCACCGUCGCUUACCUCAAAUAGGUUAGUGCAACUCUUGGUUGGACAUAGUACGGCGUGAUAAGUGUUCUUCGCCGGUGCCUCGCAAAGAGGGUGGCCGAUCGGGAUGUUGUGCUCCAAACCGUCUUCGGACAAUCUCUGACGACUUGACCUCAAAUCGAGUAAGACUACCCGCUGAACUUAAGCAUAUCAAUAAGCGGAGGA
rnacentral:misc_RNA from 1 species